rnacentral:rRNA from 1 species
AUGGGCUGGAGCUCGAGCUUGUCAAUGAAGACCCUGGCGAUGUCGGAGGUGGGCGAGCGCGACGCAAUGGCCAUGUCGACCCCCUUCUCCUUGAGCGCGCACAUGAUGCCCUUGGCGUGGCGGUACAGGCUGGGCGACUCCCUCUUCGAGCGGCACUCGCUGGCGAACGGAAAAGCCCAAUCGAGCGUCAGAUCACCGGCGGAACCCAGCGGAAUCGGGGCCGAGGAGCGGGGCGUACCAGUAGAAGGGCCACAGGGUGUAGUCGAGGUCGAAGACGACGAGGCGGGGGAGCACCUGGAACAGGCCCAGGAUCUGCAGCGCCUCCGCCUUCACGCGCUCGUCGCCCAUCCCGGACGGCCGGACCCCUCCUCCUCUCCUCGCUGCUGCUGCGGCGGCCGUGGCGGAGAUUGCUCGCCGGCGGCAGGGAGGGAUUGGUCGCCCGGUUCAACGGCGCUCGGCUGGGGCAGGUAA